UACGUAGGGUCCGAGCGUUGUCCGGAGUUACUGGGCGUAAAGCGCGCGCAGGCGGCUCGUCAAGUCUGGCGUGAAAGCCCCCGGCUCAACCGGGGAGGGUCGUCGGAGACUGGCGAGCUUGAGGGCGGUAGGGGCUGGUGGAAUUCCCGGUGUAGCGGUGAAAUGCGCAGAUAUCGGGAGGAACACCAAUGGCGAAGGCAGCUCGCUGGGACGGUACUGACGCUGAGACGCGAAAGCGUGGGGAGCAAACAGG
rnacentral:rRNA from 1 species